rnacentral:tRNA from 1 species
GGCGUCCCUAGCUGGGAAAACGAAGGAUCAGGAAAGACGUCGAGAAGCGACGAAAACUGGCUGGAUCGCCCUUUCAAGGCGGUAGCACGGGUUCGAAUCCCGUUGGGGCCA